GCUCCAGUUGCCUAGUGGUUAGAGCGUCCGCUCCGGAUGCGGGAGGUCGUGGGUUCGAACUCUGACCGAGUCA